AUCACGGUCGGGAGAUUGCCGCUUCCCCUGCAUUUGGUUCGUAUACUACAGAUUAAGCGAACGGAGACUGUUACUGCAGACGGGGAAGGUCUACUAAACGGCGGUUUUUCCUAAAGACACUGGAGGUGUCUUAACAGUGGGUGGGGGCCCUUAACUAGAAUAAGGGAGACGACCUGUUGUCCUCCCCUCCGGCCCUCACCCCUGAGUGGUGGGUGGGGGCCCUAAAUACCAAUAAAG